GACGAACGCUGGCGGCGUGCCUAAUACAUGCAAGUUGAGCGCUGAAGGUUGGUACUUGUACCAACUGGAUGAGCAGCGAACGGGUGAGUAACGCGUGGGGAAUCUGCCUUUGAGCGGGGGACAACAUUUGGAAGCGAAUGCUAAUACCGCAUAAAAACUUUAAACACAAGUUUUAAGUUUGAAAGAUGCAAUUGCAUCACUCAAAGAUGAUCCCGCGUUGUAUUAGCUAGUUGGUGAGGUAAAGGCUCACCAAGGCGAUGAUACAUAGCCGACCUGAGAGGGUGAUCGGCCACAUUGGGACUGAGACACGGCCCAAACUCCUACGGGAGGCAGCAGUAGGGAAUCUUCGGCAAUGGACGAAAGUCUGACCGAGCAACGCCGCGUGAGUGAAGAAGGUUUUCGGAUCGUAAAACUCUGUUGGUAGAGAAGAACGUUGGUAAGAGUGGAAAGCUCAUCAAGUGACGGUAACUACCCAGAAAGGGACGGCUAACUACGUG
rnacentral:rRNA from 1 species